rnacentral:lncRNA from 1 species
GCUGCUUUGGCGCUGUCCAGAGGUGUUCUAAGGUAGGACCUUGGAGAUGGGCCCAGCCAUGGUUUUGUAGCUGAACGGAAUAGAGAGAGGUGGUGGAAACUUGAAGUGAUGGGGCCUAGAGGAAGCAAGUCCGCUGAGAGUCUCCGUUGAAAGGUAAGCUGUGUCUCCAAUCCCUUUUCUUCCCAAGCUGCUGAUGCUACUGUUUUCUUUCUUCUUCUUCUUCUUCUUCUUCUUCUUCUUCUUCUUCUUCUUCUUCUUCUUCUCCUUCUUUUCUCCUCCUCCUCUUCCUCCUCCCCCUCCUCCUCCUCCCUCCCCCUCUCUUUCUCUCUCUGUGUUUUCAUGUGUUCUGGCUGCUAUGGAAUAAGCAGUUUGCUUCGACUGAAAUCCUUCCACCAUAAAAUCCUACUUGCCCACAGGC